GAUGAAGAACGUAGCAAACUGCGAUAAGUAGUGUGAAUUGCAUUUAGUGAAUCAUCGAAUCUUUGAACGCACCUUGCACUCACUGGUAUUCCGGUGAGUACGCCUGUUUCAGUAUCAUUGAAAACACACAAUCAAAACUUUUUUGAUUGGCCUUGGGCUUAUUACAGUUUGGUACAUUCAUUUGGAUCAAGCGGCCUGGAAUAGAUUGUCUGGCUAAUUGCAUCGUUGAUGAUCGCUAUUAGACUUUGGCUUUUUUAAAUGAACUGGAGGUUGAUUAACCAGUUUUAGCUUUAGUCGAAUGGUCAUUGUAAAUCGAUCUUGGUCCAGCGGUUGAGGAUAACCGGAAAACAAAACCAUAACAAUCACUUUUUUCGUAUCGAUCUGAAAUCAGGUGGGACUACCCGCUGAACUUAAGCAUAUCAAUAAGCGGAGGA
rnacentral:misc_RNA from 1 species